CCUGGCUGGUGGAAAAUUUCAACUUUAAAUGGUAGGUUGAUACGAUAGCUCAGAGAGCGUUGAGGCCAGGUCAGUCAAGGAUUGCAUUGUAGGCUGACGGCGCCUUCACCACUAGGAAAUUUACCAGAGCCCUGGAUUGCCUUGGAUAUCGACCUGCGGUCACAGUCAAAGUUAUUAUUCCCUCCGUCGGAACAGCGUCGCCAGUAAAUCCUACC
rnacentral:lncRNA from 1 species